UCUGUCUUAGUGGCGGACGGGUGAGUAACGCGUGGGCAACCUGCCCUGUACCGGGGGAUAACACUUAGAAAUAGGCGCUAAUACCGCAUAAUAGGGAAUACCGCAUGGUAAUCCUUUGAAAACUCCGGUGGUACAGGAUGGGCCCGCGUCUGAUUAGCCAGUUGGCGGGGUAACGGCCCACCAAAGCGACGAUCAGCAGCCGGCCUGAGAGGGUGGACGGCCACACUGGGACUGAGACACGGCCCAGACUCCUACGGAAGGCAGCAG
rnacentral:rRNA from 1 species